rnacentral:rRNA from 1 species
AGUGAACGCUGGCGGCGUGCCUAAUACAUGCAAGUCGAACGGAGUGGCGCACGGGUGAGUAAUAUAUAGCUAAUCUGCCCCUUGCUGGAGGACAACAGUUAGAAAUGACUGCUAAUACUCCAUAUCAAGGGAUGAGACUAUAUCGUAUCAGCUAGUCGGUGGGGUAACGGCCUACCGAGGCUAUGACGCGUAACUGGGCUGAGAGGAUGAUCAGCAACAUUGGACCUGAGGCACCAUUCAGGAUCCUUCGACAAGGGGCAGAAGGGUGAUAUGCGCAAUGGGGGAAACCGUAACAGGGCAACGCCGUGUAGAGGACUAUCCGUUUCGAAGAGUAAACUCCUUUUGUUAGGGACGCGGUACCUGCCGAAUAAGCACCGGCUAACUCCGUGCCAGCAGCCGCGGUAAUAC